rnacentral:rRNA from 1 species
GACGAACGCUGGCGGCGUGCUUAACACAUGCAAGUCGAACGGAAAGGCCCUGCUUUUGUGGGGUGCUCGAGUGGCGAACGGGUGAGUAACACGUGAGUAACCUGCCCUUGACUUUGGGAUAACUUCAGGAAACUGGGGCUAAUAACGGAUAGGAGCUCCUGCUGCAUGGUGGGGGUUGGAAAGGUUCGGCGGUUGGGGAUGGACUCGCGGCUUAUCAGCUUGUUGGUGGGGUAGUGGCUUACCAAGGCUUUGACGGGUAGCCGGCCUGAGAGGGUGACCGGCCACAUUGGGACUGAGAUACGGCCCAGACUCCUACGGGAGGCAGCAGUGUGGAAUAUUGCACAAUGGGCGGAAGCCGGAUGCAGCAACGCCGCGUGCUGGAUGACGGCCUUCGGGUUGUAAACCGCUUUCGCCUGUGACGAAGCGUUAGUGACGGUAAUGGGUAAAGAAGCACCGGCUAACUACGUG